ensembl:lncRNA
AUAUAUAUAUAUAUAUAUAUAUAUAUAUAUAUAUAUAUAUAUAUAUAUAUGUAUAUAUAUGUAUAAUGUGAAAACACGGCUUCACAUCUGAGAGUGUAAAGGAAAGACUUGAAAUCUUCAGAAACCCAUCUGAGGAUAGUUUAAUGGGACUUUACCAAAUUAAGAAAAUUGCUGUGUCUCCGACUUGCAGACCACAACGACUCUGCCUUCAAAUUGUGUGUGUGUGUAUAUAUAUAUAUAUGUGUGUGUGCCCUACGUGCAGCUGCUUCAAGUGUUGCUCAAGCAGAGAGGGAAAGAGCAACUCAGGCCAGUUUACAGUGGGUGAGAAAGACAGGAGUGAGGAGGGGAAUGAGAGAAAAGAGAAUUGAAGGCCAACUGAAGGGAAGCAGAGGCAGGGUUUGUGGCUUGUAAAAAUGAAACUGGAGGAAAGUGGGUUAGAAAAAUAAGCAACAGAAGAGAGCACUGGUCAAAGAGAUGAUGCACAGGACAUCGAGGGCAGGGAGAAAGGCAGCGCUAGAGACAGAGAGAAAAGAGAAAGAGUGAAGACUGGCCAGAGAUUUAAAUAGCUGAUGGGUUUUCCUGCUGAUUUUGGUGUUGUUAUUGUGUAACAGCAGCGGAAGUGUUUGGUUUGUGUGUCCAGUGCUGCUUUACCAGGACAGAGCUGCUUAGAUCUGUUUACAAAAUCCUUUGCUCAGCUUCACUGCAUGUGUGUGUGUGUGUGUGUAGGUGAGUAAUACGUGCAGCACCUGCUCUUUAAGUGUUUCCUGAGAACAUAACUCCUGACUCCCGAGCAGCGUGAUUAGACUGUACCAUGUUACAAGCUGCAUGCUAUUAAAAGCCAACAUAUGGAGACUUCUGCCUUGUUCGGGUGGCAGCAUUUUUCUUUUUUCUUUUGUGUCCUGACACGUUUAUGUUUUUUGUUUUUGUUUGAUUAUUUUGUUGGUUUUGGAAACGAUUUUAAACGAACUUGUGACAAUACUUGAGAGUCACAAUGACACAUAGUGAUUAGGCAUAUGAUUGAAAAAUGCCUAGGUUUAGAGCUGUGAGCUAUGAGCUGUGAGCAAUGCAAAGUUAAAUAUAUAUAUAUUUGUAUAAAUGGGAAACAACCGUAACUUGAAAGUUUGAAAUGUGUGAGAUCCAUGCAUUGUUUGAAGAACUAGAAAUAAUCUAAAACUGCCUUAAGUGAAAAUGUAGAGUUGCAUCUAUUCUCCCAUACAAAAAAAAAAAAAAAAAAAAAGGAGAAGCAUUCUGUAACUUAAAAAUAAGGCUGACUGUUGACAACAGACUAAAACACUAAUUCGCAGGUGGCUAUCAGGAACAGAGAGGCGAGCAAAGUCACAAACACCAAGGCUGCAGACAGCCACGCAGAAACAGCAGAUAACAUAGAGACAACUUCUGCUAGAACCGUGGAGAGGAAGGUCACUUCCCACGAGAUUGUAGGAGUAGAGGACAAACUAGUUGUAAAGUCAGCUUCAGGCCACACAACUGUACAACAAUUAACUGCCCUUUUAGAACUAGUACACACAGCAAGUGGCCGCAGGUGCUUUAUUAAAUGCAUAUAUGACCCGUCGUGUCCAGUAAAUUUGCUAGGUAGAGACGCUCUGACAAAACUUAAGAUAGCAGUCAUGCCAUUCUUUUCUGGUAUUACACCUGAGUGCCAGAAACCGACCGAGUAUCACAACAUUCUGAGAUUUAAACAAACUCCAGGCCCAGAUCCACCUUAUGAUCAGCAAGUGUGGAAGCUAGGAGAACAGCAUUUGACCUUACAGCACAGGCCGAAGUUGUGUAGGUUACGCAGUAACCACAGAUAGUAAAAUAAUAGAAGCAAAACUACUUCCUCCUUCAUGUCCUGCACAGAGCGCUGAGCUGAUAGCUGUGAUACGCGAAAGCUAAAUACACAAAGACAAACUAAUAAACAUACAUACAGACAGCCAGUAUGUUUUCUCUGCUGUGCAUCAUUUUGCAAAAAAUUUGGCAUAACAGAGGAAUGAUUACACCAACUGGCAAACCAGCAUGCCAACCUCUUACAACGCCUACUGACUCUUUCAUUACUACAGGCAACAAUUUUGCUGACAGAGCAGCAAAAUAGGCGGCACAACAGGCAAACAUCACAUUGAUGGCAGUAAACACACAUCAGAUUCCACUGGAUGUGUUGAAAAAUGAACAAAAAGCAGCAAGCACAGCAGAGCAGGCAAAAUGGCUAAAACACGGUGCAGUUCUGACAAACGACUUAAUGAUGUGUUAUGGCAAGCCAGUGUUGCAAAAAAAAAAAAUUCCUCCACAAAAUGGCGGCAUUAGUGACUCAUGGCUGUACGCAUUUGUCAACGGGGGGACUGACCAGUAUUGUCAACUCUCAUUUCUACACUGUAAAUUCUACACUGUAAAUUUUGAAACCUCAGCAAAACAAUUUGUCAGAACGUGCAUGACGUGUCAAACAAAAAAUAAUAUAAAAGAGGCCGUUUUCCCACACCACCUUAUCUUUUUCACACAAUCCAUAUGGACUUUAUUGAGCUAAAUGAAUGCCAAGGGUAAAAAUACACCCUAGUGGUUAUAGAUGUAUUCUCAAAGUGGCCAGAAAUCUACCCAGUGAAAAAGGCAGAUACAAUUUCAGUAGCAAAAUGUAUGUCUAAGUUGUAGGAAAAUAAAGAGAUGAUUGUAAAUGACGAAGAAUGUAAUGAUGUCUAUCAAGUGUCUUGCAGAUCACAGCCCGGUGACUGGGUUCUGAUCAAGGUGCUCCAAAGGAAAAACUGGAGCACACCCAGGUGGGAGGGGCCAUACCAAGUCCUCCUCACUACACCGACCGCUUGCAAAAUUGCGGAACGACCAUCCUGGAUCCAUCAGAGUCACUGCAGGCGAGUCAGUGAAGCCAUCUAAACACAGCUGACGGCAGGCUUGCCCACUUGUUGUGAUCUCGCCCGGUGGAGGGGUCAGCUUUCCUGGCCGGGGGGUCUACUCGCGACAGGAGGGUGUGUCCCGUCGUCAUGAGGUGGUGGCUCCUAAUAACUGCAGCGGCCCUGACCCUGGCCGGGCUCCUCAUCUUUGCUUCCGUGAGGGACAACAAGUCACGAUAUAUGAAGAAAAGGCAGACACUGUAUGACAAAGGAAAGUACUCCAAGUUUCCCCAUGGCUACGCCACUAAUUUCUGGUGGCAGUUUAUGAACACUACAGCUCACUUGAAUAAUAAAACUGACUGCUAUGCAUGUACCCAUAUGCCCCUAUCCUCACAGACGUCUGGCCUGUGGCCAUACAGCAUACCUGAAGAUCGCAGUUGGUGCCUGUUGGGCCUGGCAACACACCCAGGCUACGGUACUCUUUGGUCCAAGGCCAACUACAGUAUCCCAGCUAAGGCAACCUGGAGGUCAUCAUCACCCACAAAUGUGAACUGUUCCGGACAGACCUACCUACUGACCUGGCCCCAAGUCUCAGACCCACUGCCUGAUGUAAUUCUACUAAACAGACUGAACGCAGCGCAACUGCCAGUAUGUGUGAUGAACAAUGGAUCGCGGGCAGUGGGGGAGCUGCCUACUCACCUAUCUACCGGAUGCCACUACAAACAAAGACUCAGUACCAGACAGGAUGUGCACGAACGGCACCAAGCAGUAAAGGAACCAGAGUUUCGCAUCUGAGGAGGAGUGAAAUUCUUACAGAGCUUGAUCCCCGGCAUUGGAGUUGCCGAGGUGCGGGAUCAUGUGGAAAUCAACCGAUAUGCUCUGCUACGACACAUCAACUUGACUAAGACCCUGGGAACCGCCUUAGCAGGAGAACAGCAGGCCAUCAGAACGAUGGUGCUGCAGAACAGACUGACUCUAGACCUGCUAACAGCAUCACAAGGAGGAGUUUGCAAGCUGAUCGAGGAAACAUGUUGCACUUUUAUCCCUGAUGGAUACGAAACUGGAGGAGACAUUUAUGAAGCUUUGCAGAAUUUGACCGCUCUGCAAAAAUAUGUCACUGACCACACACCUGGAGCAGCUACAGCACAAGGCUGGCUGGACUGGCUGUUCAGCGGUUCAUGGCUGGCUGCUGUAGCAAAGCCAUUUUUCCUUCUAGGUCUCAUUAUGAUAGCACUGCUCAUAUUAGUGUUGUGUGUGUUGCCAUGCCUAAGAGUAAUGAUUUCAAAGAUGAUAACAACUACAAUGACUGCUUAUGUUGCCGUGCCUGAAGAAGACCAGCAUCCCGUUGCAAUUCUGUUAGAGGAGAACUUGUAAUAACUGCUAAUGAAUGACGUGGUGAUUAAAAAUGACUUGUCAAGUGAUCACGCACUGAUUAAAACAUUAGUAGGUUAUGCAGGUUUUCAUCCUUUUAUUUUUUGAAGUUUUCAUCCUUGUAUUUUUUGAAGUUUUCAUUUUACAUAUUAGGUUUUCAUCAUUUUUAAAUACAAAGUUUUCAUUUUAGUUUUCAUCCUUUAUUUUUUGUAGUUUUAGUUUUAUUAUUUUUUCUUGUUUAUUCCACUUGUUAUUUCAUUUACUAUGUUUUUCUUUUUAUUAUUUUCUUUUGUUUUAUUCUUUAGACCAAAUGACUUCCAUUUCUGCUAUGCUGACAUUUUGAAAAUUAAAAAAUUGCUUAAGAUACUUAAUAAAUAACCUUCACAGACAAUUGUUGUAUACAUUUAAAAUAAGUUAAAACAGGAGGGAAUGUUACAGGAAAAAUGAUUCUAUGUUUCUUUACCUUCUUUUAAAUGUACAAAGAUGCCCUUUGUCUAUGGUUAGAUUAGUUUAGAAUUAUCCUUUAGACUUUCCCAGCAAAGACAUCUUGUUUCUGGGACAUAUUGUUUUAGAUUGUUUUAUCUUCCCUAGCUGUCUGCUGACGAGACUAGCACCAUAUAUGGAGUUGUUUUAUUUUAUCUGUUUAUUAUUUUCUUAUCCUGUUCUCACUGUCUUUCCUAUAAAAAUUACCAAGCCACUGUGCAUGGUGUGAGUUGUUCUUAGCAGCUCACCCGUGUACACGUUUGAUAAAGAAAGUAACUUUGUCUCAUUGUGUCUUUAUUUCUCCUGGGUUUUUUACAGAGUUUUCCCCCAACAAAGUUGAAUACAGUUGGUGAACAAAAGAAGGAAAUGAAAAAGUUUC